rnacentral:rRNA from 1 species
AUUGAACGCUGGCGGCAGGCUUAACACAUGCAAGUCGAGCGGGGGAAGGUAGCUUGCUACCGGACCUAGCGGCGGACGGGUGAGUAGUGCUUAGGAAUCUGCCUAUUAGUGGGGGACAACAUCUCGAAAGGGAUGCUAAUACCGCAUACGUCCUACGGGAGAAAGCAGGGGAUCUUCGGACCUUGCGCUAAUAGAUGAGCCUAAGUCGGAUUAGCUAGUUGGUGGGGUAAAGGCCUACCAAGGCGACGAUCUGUAGCGGGUCUGAGAGGAUGAUCCGCCACACUGGGACUGAGACACGGCCCAGACUCCUACGGGAGGCAGCAGUGGGCAAUAUUGGACAAUGGGGGGAACCCUGAUCCAGCCAUGCCGCGUGUGUGAAGAAGGCCUUAUGGUUGUAAAGCACUUUAAGCGAGGAGGAGGCUACUCUAGUUAAUACCUAGGGAUAGUGGACGUUACUCGCAGAAUAAGCACCGGCUAACUCUGUGCCAGCAGCCGCCGUAA